AAACAGCAAGAACUUUUUUCAUUCAUGUAUUGAAAUCCAUCAAACGGACACACUGUAUAAAAUGAAAAGUGAUCAAUUAGAACAGCUCACAAAUCAAUAAAACCAUGGAAGAUUCACCAAUGCACUGCUACCUAGAGACCGUAGUAGACAUGCAUCCCUGUCUUCAGCGCUGAUGGGCCUUUAUAUCCAUAUAUUCAACUCUGGUGUGUAUUUAUAUUCCAUUUGUCAAUUCUGGACAUCAGAAAAGAAGAAGAUGUGACUGUUGGGUAAACAAUGGCGUGGUCUGCUGUGGGUUUUUUCUUUGGAUCGGUGCCAGAUACUGACGGGCGGAUUAAAAUCCAGACACACAGAUGGGAUUCGAGCAUUCUACAUUCGGCACAUAAUUCAGAAGCUCUAUCCACUACGCCGCUGGCGUUGAUGACAUCUGUUGAACAUAACCUGUUUGGAAGAUAUGAAAUCACUUCAAAUUCUGCUGGUUACACCAUCCCCAAAUAUAUUUCAAGGACAAUAUGUUGAGAAGGGUGUAUAAAUGAUGAAUACUGGAUAGCACGAGAUAAGCAUUACAUCAACAGUAAGAGAAGGAGCAAUAUCGCCAUUUGAUGAUUUGCGCCCUGCCCACUGGACAUACCACGACUGCCACUCCAGUUCACUCGGCUGUACAUUGAAUUAGUAUUGUCUUCGGUUGGAGGGAGAGCUUAGACUGUGAUGGACUGGUGUCUCACUCUGUUACUCUUAUCCGUUAACCACUUAUCAUUCCGAGGAAUGACAAUCACAUUCUAACACUGAUAUUCCAAAGGAUGAUCAGAAUUCAUCAGUACCCCCGCAACUAGUAGGAUUCAGAAGUAUUCAUAGUAGAGUUUUUCACCCCAAGCUCAAAUGAUGUAGUUGAUGCAGAACCCGCAUUCCCUAUGGUGAACUGAAACUGAAAAGUGCCACAGGAU